ACAUAACUGAUGCCUCCGCGUAUCGACUUUGUGCGCAUUUUAGCUAUUAUGUGUUCUUUUAAUUAAAAUGAUUCUUUUUAAGAUUCAUCUAUUAAAAAUUUGCUUCGGCAUAAUUUUUUUUGAUGAUCUUGUUACUUUGAGUAAAUUAGAGUGUUCAAAGCAAACAGAUAUAGCAUUUGUGCGUUUGAAUACUACAGCAUGGAAUAACAAAAUUGAACAAGUCAGAAUUUUUUUGUUCUUUUUUCUUAUUUUGGCUUAGUUACGAUUAAUAGGAGUAGCUUGGGGGCAUUUGUAUUCAGAUGUCAGAGGUGAAAUUCUUAGAUUUUCUGGAGACAAACAACUGCGAAAGCAUUUGCCUAAAAUACUUCCAUUAAUCAAGAACGAAAGUUAAGGGAGUGAAGACGAUCAGAUACCGUCGUAAUCUUAACCAUAAACUAUGCCGACUAGGCUUUGGAUGAAAGAUUUUAAAAUAAGAGUUUUUCUUUUCUCUCCGGAGAUUAGAACUCUUAGAUUGCUUCCUUCAGUGCCUUAUGAGAAAUCAAAGUCUUUGGGUUCCGGGGCGAGUAUUCGCGCAAGCGAGAAAGUUAAAAGAAUUGACGGAAGGGCACCACCAGGCGUGGAGCUUGCGGCUUAAUUUGACUCAACACGGGAAAACUCACUAGUUUAAGACAAGAGUAGGAUUGACAGAUUAAUAGCUCUUUCUUGAUUUCUUGGAUGGUGAUGCAUGGCCGUUUUUAGUUCGUGAAUAUGAUUUGUCUGGUUAAUUCCGAUAACGAACGAGAUCUUAACCUGCUAAUUAGCGGCAAAUACGAUAUAUUCUUAUGUAGAAUUGAAUAUAGUGGAUUUGUUAGAUUUUGAAGAAAAUAUUGGAAUUACGUUAAAUGUGAUUCCUUUCCCUUUUCUACUUAAUUUACAUUUCCAUCUAUUUCUUUUUUGCGUAUGAAUGUAUUUGCUUGAUUGUAAAGCUUCUUAGAGGAACGAUGUGUG
rnacentral:rRNA from 1 species